AUUGAACGCUGGCGGCAGGCCUAACACAUGCAAGUCGAGCGGUAGAGAGAAGCUUGCUUCUCUUGAGAGCGGCGGACGGGUGAGUAAUGCCUAGGAAUCUGCCUGGUAGUGGGGGAUAACGUUCGGAAACGGACGCUAAUACCGCAUACGUCCUACGGGAGAAAGCAGGGGACCUUMGGGCCUUGCGCUAUCAGAUGAGCCUAGGUCGGAUUAGCUAGUUGGUGAGGUAAUGGCUCACCAAGGCGACGAUCCGUAACUGGUCUGAGAGGAUGAUCWGUCACACUGGAACUGAGACACGGUCCAGACUCCUACGGGAGGCAGCAGUGGGGAAUAUUGGACAAUGGGCGAAAGCCUGAUCCAGCCAUGCCGCGUGUGUGAAGAAGGUCUUCGGAUUGUAAAGCACUUUAAGUUGGGAGGAAGGGUUGUAGAUUAAUACUCUGCAAU
rnacentral:rRNA from 2 species